GUGCUUGCUUUGGCAGCACAUAUACUAAAACUGGAAUAAUACAGAGAACAUUAGCAUGACCUCUGCACACGAAUGACAUGCAAAUUCAUGAAGCGUUACAUAUUUUU
ensembl:snRNA U6 U6 spliceosomal RNA